UAAAGGGUAAAAUUUAAGCUUCUAACUUAAAAUAUGGGGUUAAAGCCCCAUCCUUUUA
rnacentral:tRNA from 1 species